rnacentral:rRNA from 1 species
AGUGAACGCUGGCGGCAGGCCUAAUACAUGCAAGUCGAACGGCAGCACAGCAGAGCUUGCUCUGUGGGUGGCGAGUGGCGGACGGGUGAGGAAUACAUGGGAAUCUGCCCAGUCGUGGGGGAUAACGUAUGGAAACGUACGCUAAUACCGCAUGCGCCCUAAGGGGGAAAGCCGGGGACCGCAAGGCCUGGCGCGAUUGGAUGAGCCCAUGUUCGAUUAGCUAGUUGGCGGGGUAAAGGCCCACCAAGGCGACGAUCAGUAGCCGGCCUGAGAGGGUGAUCGGCCACACUGGAACUGAGACACGGUCCAGACUCCUACGGGAGGCAGCAGUGGGGAAUUUUGGGCAAUGGGCGAAAGCCUGACCCAGCAACGCCGCGUGAAGGAUGACGGUUUUCGGAUUGUAAACUCCUGUUAAGCGGGAAGAAAGCCUUGUUUCUAAUACAAGCAAGGUAUGACGGUACCGCUAGAGAAAGCACCGGCUAACUUCGUGCCAGCAGCCGAC